rnacentral:rRNA from 1 species
CUACCUACGGGGCGCAGCAGUGGGGAAUAUUGGGCAAUGAGCGCAAGCCUGACCCAGCAACGCCGCGUGAAGGAAGAAGGCUUUCGGGUUGUAAACUUCUUUUCUCAGGGACGAAGAAAGUGACGGUACCUGAGGAAUAAGCCACGGCUAACUACGUGCCAGCAGCCGCGGUAAUACGUAGGUGGCAAGCGUUAUCCGGAUUUACUGGGUGUAAAGGGCGUGUAGGCGGGGAAGCAAGUCAGAUGUGAAAACCACGGG